ACGGGCUUCGGUCUGGUGGCGAGUGGCGAACGGGUGAGUAAGUAUCGGAACGUACCUUUCAGUGGGGGAUAACGUAGCGAAAGUUACGCUAAUACCGCAUAUUCUGUGAGCAGGAAAGCAGGGGAUCACAAGACCUUGCGCUGAUUGAGCGGCCGAUAUCAGAUUAGCUAGUUGGUGGGGUAAAGGCCUACCAAGGCGACGAUCUGUAGCGGGUCUGAGAGGAUGAUCCGCCACACUGGAACUGAGACACGGUCCAGACUCCUACGGGAGGCAGCAGUGGGGAAUUUUGGACAAUGGGGGGCAACCCUGAUCCAGCCAUGCCGCGUGAGUGAAGAAGGCCUUCGGGUUGUAAAGCUCUUUCGGUCGGGAAGAAAUCGCAUGGGCUAAUACCCUGUGUGGAUGACGGUACCGGAAUAAGAAGCACCGGCUAACUACGUGCCAGCAGCCGCGGUAAUACGUAGGGUGCGAGCGUUAAUCGGAAUUACUGGGCGUAAAGCGUGCGCACGCGGUUUAGUAAGACAGGCGUGAAAUCCCCGGGCUCAACCUGGGAACUGCGCUUGUGACUGCUAAGCUAGAGUAC
rnacentral:rRNA from 1 species